rnacentral:lncRNA from 1 species
AACCUGUUCAGAGGAGAGGAUUGAUCACAUCAGGUCAAUUACCUACUUAGUUCAAUCUGUUAUAAAACAAGAGUGACUACAGAACUGAAAGCCUCUCUUCUAUCUGAGAUGCAUUGGUGACACGUUCCUAUCACAGGCCUUGGGUGACAGCCCAUUAACCUAAAAACACUUCUUCAUGAGUAACAGGCCGUAUAACAGGAUUGUGGACAAGAGGGACCAGACGCUGUGGCAGAGCCAGGUACCAACUUUAUUCCCAUAUCUAGUUUAACAUAAUUAUUACAGGAGCUAAUAAUGGGGCUAAUUCACCUGCUCAUCUUCCAAAGUAAUAUAUGCCAUCAGUUGCCUUCUAGCUGGUCUAUGCAAUGACCUUCUAGCUGGUCUGCAAAAGAAUGAAUGAGCACAAAUCUGAAAUGGCAGUAUAGAAAAGCCAAAGAGGGAAGAUUUCAGCUUCUCAGGAUGCUCUGUCACUGACCUUAAGGUGUUCAUUAUUGAAUGAAGUGGCCUCAAACCAUGAGACCAUUGUAUUACAAUGCACCAGUGCUAUUAUUUGCAGAUGGAAUCAGUACAAUAGGUGCUGGGUUUACGUUUUUAAAACCACACUGGAUGUGCUAAAAACUGACUUACCAGUGCAAGGAUGUCUGUGUUAUCAACUACUGUUUUUAGUGCAUCGUUGCAGUUUUAAAGGUCAUUGUCCUCAACUGUAUAAUUCAGCAUUUUGUUUCCCUCUGAUCUUUUUUACAAGCUCCCACCAAUUGUGUCCCUGCAACUCAGUAUAACACUUUAUGCAUCCAAUUAUAUUGUGUGUGUCAUAAUAAUUUUUUUAAUCUUUCAGGUGCUACAAGACUCUUCUGUUGGUUUUGCAGGGUUGAAAAGAUUCACCCUGCACCAAUUUUACAAUGAUUACUUACAGAUUGAAAUGGUAAUCUGAAAAAGCCAUUGUGAAUUGGGUCCUAACUUUUGUGCUAGAUUCUACUGCCUCCAAUGAAUGGCAUCUCAGCCUGUGGUCUUUAUCUUGCAGGUCAUGAUUACAACAUGUUUUUGUGCUUAAAUAAGAAAGAAACUCUGAUCUCCCUCACCCCCUGCUUUGUGAAACACAUUACCCUACUGUGGAUUGUGGAGUUGUUGUUGUUUUCUAAUGGGCCAGCAUGGCUACUUUUGCUUUUAAUUGAGCUUAUUUACAAUGGAUAGAGUACUCAUCAUCUCCAAGAGAGAAAGCGGGGUUUUUUUGUUUUUUUUUAGGGAUGAGGAACAUACAGAGUCAGUAUAGACUGAGUUCAUCUUCGGAAGGCAAGGAUAUGGUUUGUUUGUUUUUUAAUUGCAUGCAUUAAAUGCUUGUUUUUAUUUCUUUAACUGCAAAUGAUUCUGGAAGAAGAUCUGGUCAGUUGACAACUAAAGAACUGCUUGUAGCUAUUUGGUUCAUAGAUCUCUUGUAUCACAUCUAAUUUGUGCAUAUGUGACCACCUUUCUGUAUAAGAGGUCUGUUUAGGAGAAUGCCAGGUUUUCCAAGCAUUCUGCUCCACACAGUAGCCAACCAUAUCACUAUGCAAUACCAAAAGCAGGACACAUGUCAGGUAAGUACCCUUUCGCCCUGUUCUUUCCCAGCAAUUGAUAUGCCUCUGAUAGCAUAUAUCCAUAACGAUUAGUAGCCACUGAUAGUCUUAGCAUUCAUGAAUUUGCCUAAUCUCUUGAGAAAGCCAUCUAGGUUGGCAGCCAUAAUCACAUCUUGAGUAAUUCCAGGGCUGUGCUUGCGCGUGUGCACACACACACACACACUAAGAUGUGGACCCAGAUCAGCCCUAUCCGAACCUAGGUCACACCCAACCCAGAUCUG